rnacentral:rRNA from 1 species
AGUGAACGCUGGCGGUAUGCCUAACACAUGCAAGUCGAACGGCAGCACAGUAAGAGCUUGCUCGUACGGGUGGCGAGUGGCGGACGGGUGAGGAAUAAAUCGGAAUCUACUUGUUCGUGGGGGAGAACGUAGGGAAACUUACGCUAAUACCUCAUACGACCUACGGGUGAAAGCAGGGGAUCUUCGGACCUUGCGCGAUUGAAUGAGCCGAUGUCGGAUUAGCUAGUCGGCGGGGUAAAGGCCCACCCAGGCGACGAUCCGUAGCUGGUCUGAGAGGAUGAUCAGCCACACUGGAACUGAGACACGGUCCCGACUCCUACGGGAGGCAGCAGUAGGGAUUAUUGGACAAUGGGCGCAAGCCUGAUCCAGCCGUACCGCGUGGGUGAAGAAGGCCUUCGGGUUGUAAAGCCCUUUUGUUGGGAAAGAAAAGCAGCCGGUUAAUACCCCGCUGUUCUGACGGUACCCAAAGAAUAAGCACCGGCUAACUUCGUG